UGCCUUUCCUGUGAACGUCAGCUCGGC
rnacentral:piRNA from 1 species